UUUUUUUUUUUUUUUUUGAACCCGAAAACCAUUCACCUUUCGUCCAAAAAGAAAAAGAAAAGUAUUCACCUAAGAGUGUGAGUCAGAAGUUAGUUUGAUUGAUCAGCCUGUUCAAGAGAGUGGUUAACAGGGCAUCCCUCCUCUCAGCUCUGCUCUCUUCUCUAAUCCUUCUCUCUUCUUCCCUCUCUCUCCAAGCCUGCUCAACCAUUAACCUCUCCCUCUCCGUCUUCUCCAUCUUUUGCCACCAUUCCUCCUCAAACAGCCGCCGCUCCAGCGCCAGCAUCUCCAUCAUUUGCCUUCACUCCAUCUCCAUCCUCUGCUGAUGCUGAAAAAACUCCUUAAGUAAUUCCUGCACACUGCUAGUACUUCUUCCACUUGCAGCAUUGGUUGCUCUUGCCAAUACUACUCCUUCCCCCUUCCUUUUCUUACCUUUCCCAUGGCUAUCCUUCUCCUCCGCGUCUUCUGACAACUCAUCCGACCACUGCCCUGAC
rnacentral:lncRNA from 1 species